UGGGCGUGAGAACUACUGUAAAAACAAGUAGUCCUCAGUGGGUACCGCCCAAAACAAUAUCGGUCCACCCACUAAGUCUACAGAAGGGAGCAAGAAUAGUAGUAAAUGCAGGAAUAAAGUCUACCGCUAUCAAACACUACACUAUCAUGCUCUACACUAACCAACUGUAGGAAAUGUCCAACCUGACCCAAUCCAAUCGGGACUGUAAGCAUACCCGUCCCCGGGACUGUGAAUACACCCGUCCCUGCCCCGUUGCGACUAUCAGGCUCUAUCCACACUAACUGGUCCGUGGAGAGCAAGUCCAACUGGCAUGAGCGACACCAACGCGAAAGCACAAAGCCUGACUCCGGAGUGGCACUCGUGGGCGCUACCCAACCGAGUAUGCAGCGUAUCUCUGUCGAGCUCAAUCAGGCUCCAACUAGCCAACGUCAAGUGAACAGGGUCAAAACAGGUCUACAAACCAAACCCACGUGCCCUCGGCACAAUCUGUGACCAAAACAAGAAUCUGGGUCCACCGCUAACCCGAACGGCACCCAACGACCCGAAACAGCCUAAACUCUGCUGAAAAAUAAGCUCGGCAUCUCAGCACGAGCGUAAAUGCCUUCUAAACUACCCCAGGUAUCCAUCGCAACGAUAUUGCAACGAUACAAUCGAAUCA
rnacentral:lncRNA from 1 species